rnacentral:rRNA from 1 species
GGGGGGCUAUUAGCGUGGCGUAAGGGACAGUAAUGCAUAAGCAACCUACCUCCAGGACUGGGAUAUGCGGGGGAAACGCCGUGCAAUACUAGACAUCGUUAUCGGAUGGCAUCAUCUGAUAAUGAAAUGGUCCGCCGCCUGGAGAGGGGCUUAUGUCCUACCAGCUUUUUGGGGAGGUAACGGCUCACCAAGGCGACGACGGGUAGGGGGGGUGAGAGCAUGACCCCCGUCACUGGGACUGAGACACUGCCCAGACACCUACGGGGGGCUGCAGUCGAGAAUAUUCGGCAAUGGGCGAAAGCCUGACCGAGCGACGCCGCGUGGGGGACGAAGGCCUUCGGGUUUUAAACUCCUGUUGGGGGGAAACAAUAUUGAGUGAACCCCUGAGGAAGCACGGGCUAAGUACGUGCCAGCAGCCGCGGUAAGACGUACCGUGCGAACGUUAUUCGGAAUCACUGGGCUUAAAGCGCGCGUAGGCGGUAUUUUCAGUCAGAGGGGAAAUCCCGCGGCUCAACCGUGGAACUGCCUUUGAUACUGCAAUGCUCGAGGAAGAUAGGGGUCUGUGGAACUUCCGGGGGAGCGGGGAAAUGUGUUGAGAUCGGAAGGAACGCCAGCGGCGAAAGCGAUAGACUGGAUCCCCC